rnacentral:rRNA from 1 species
UAGGGAAUCUUCCGCAAUGGGCGAAAGCCUGACGGAGCAACGCCGCGUGAGUGAUGAAGGUCUUCGGAUCGUAAAACUCUGUUAUUAGGGAAGAACAAAUGUGUAAGUAACUAUGCACGUCUAGACGGUACCUAAUCAGAAAGCUACGGCUAACUACGUGCCAGCAGCCGCGGUAAUACGUAGGUGGCAAGCGUUAUCCGGAAUUAUUGGGCGUAAAGCGCGAGUAGGCGGUUUUUUAAGUCUGAUGUGAAAGCCCACGGUUCAACCAUGGAGGGUCAUUGGAAACUAGCAAACUUGAGUGCAGAAGAGGAAAAUGGAAUUCCAUGUGUAGCGGUAAAAUGCGCAGAGAUAUGGAGCAACACCAGUGGCGAAGGCGUCUUUCUGGUCUGUAACUGACGCUGAUGUGCGAAAGCGUGGGGAUCAAACAGG